rfam:Rattus norvegicus chromosome 5, whole genome shotgun sequence.
GGGGAUUUAGCUCAGUGGUAGAGCGCUUGCCUAGCAAGCACAAGGCCCUGGGCUCAGUCCCCA